GAUGAACGCUGGCGGCGUGCCUAAUACAUGCAAGUCGAGCGAACGGACGAGAAGCUUGCUUCUCUGAUGUUAGCGGCGGACGGGUGAGUAACACGUGGAUAACCUACCUAUAAGACUGGGAUAACUUCGGGAAACCGGAGCUAAUACCGGAUAAUAUUUUGAACCGCAUGGUUCAAAAGUGAAAGACGGUCUUGCUGUCACUUAUAGAUGGAUCCGCGCUGCAUUAGCUAGUUGGUAAGGUAACGGCUUACCAAGGCAACGAUGCAUAGCCGACCUGAGAGGGUGAUCGGCCACACUGGAACUGAGACACGGUCCAGACUCCUACGGGAGGCAGCAGUAGGGAAUCUUCCGCAAUGGGCGAAAGCCUGACGGAGCAACGCCGCGUGAGUGAUGAAGGUCUUCGGAUCGUAAAACUCUGUUAUUAGGGAAGAACAUAUGUGUAAGUAACUGUGCACAUCUUGACGGUACCUAAUCAGAAAGCCACGGCUAACUACGUGCCAGCAGCCGCGGUAAUACGUAGGUGGCAAGCGUUAUCCGGAAUUAUUGGGCGUAAAGCGCGCGUAGGCGGUUUUUUAAGUCUGAUGUGAAAGCCCACGGCUCAACCGUGGAGGGUCAUUGGAAACUGGAAAACUUGAGUGCAGAAGAGGAAAGUGGAAUUCCAUGUGUAGCGGUGAAAUGCGCAGAGAUAUGGAGGAACACCAGUGGCGAAGGCGACUUUCUGGUCUGUAACUGACGCUGAUGUGCGAAAGCGUGGGGAUCAAACAGGAUUAGAUACCCUGGUAGUCCACGUCGUAAACGAUGAGUGCUAAGUGUUAGGGGGUUUCCGCCCCUUAGUGCUGCAGCUAACGCAUUAAGCACUCCGCCUGGGGAGUACGACCGCAAGGUUGAAACUCAAAGGAAUUGACGGGGACCCGCACAAGCGGUGGAGCAUGUGGUUUAAUUCGAAGCAACGCGAAGAACCUUACCAAAUCUUGACAUCCUUUGACAACUCUAGAGAUAGAGCUUUCCCCUUCGGGGGACAAAGUGACAGGUGGUGCAUGGUUGUCGUCAGCUCGUGUCGUGAGAUGUUGGGUUAAGUCCCGCAACGAGCGCAACCCUUAAGCUUAGUUGCCAUCAUUAAGUUGGGCACUCUAAGUUGACUGCCGGUGACAAACCGGAGGAAGGUGGGGAUGACGUCAAAUCAUCAUGCCCCUUAUGAUUUGGGCUACACACGUGCUACAAUGGACAAUACAAAGGGCAGCGAAACCGCGAGGUCAAGCAAAUCCCAUAAAGUUGUUCUCAGUUCGGAUUGUAGUCUGCAACUCGACUACAUGAAGCUGGAAUCGCUAGUAAUCGUAGAUCAGCAUGCUACGGUGAAUACGUUCCCGGGUCU
rnacentral:rRNA from 1 species